AGGGAAUAUUGGUAAUGUGCGAAAGCGCGAACCAGCAACGCCGCGUGCACGAUGAAGGCCUUCGGGUCGUAAAGUGCUUUUAGAGAGGAUGAGGAAGGACAGUACUUUCUGAAUAAGCCUCGGCUAACUACGUGCCAGCAGCCGCGGUAAAACGUAGGAGGCUAGCGUUAUCCGGAUUUACUGGGCGUAAAGCGCAUGCAGGUGGUUUUGUAAGUUGGAUGUGAAAGCUCCUGGCUUAACUGGGAGAGGUCGUUCAAAACUACAAGACUUGAGAUUGGUAGAUGAAAAUGGAAUUCCGGGUGUAGUGGUGAAAUGCGUAGAUAUCCGGAGGAACACCAGUGGCGAAAGCGGUUUUCUGGACCAAUUCUGACACUCAGAUGCGAAAGCUAAGGUAGCAAACG
rnacentral:rRNA from 1 species